CUGCAACCCGCCUGCACGAAGCCGGAGUUGCUAGUAAUCGCGAAUCAGAAUGUCGCGGUGAAUGCGUUCCCGGUUCUUGUACACACCGCCCGUCACACCAUGGAAGUUGGGGGUGCCCAAAGCCGGCAAGCAAAUAUGCUGUCUAAGGCAAAACCAAUGACUGGGGUGAAGUCGUAACAAGGUACC
rnacentral:rRNA from 1 species